AUUGAACGCUGGCGGCAGGCCUAACACAUGCAAGUCGAGCGGAUGAAGGGAGCUUGCUCCUGGAUUCAGCGGCGGACGGGUGAGUAAUGCCUAGGAAUCUGCCUGGUAGUGGGGGAUAACGUCCGGGAACGGGCGCUAAUACCGCAUACGUCCUGAGGGAGAAAGUGGGGGAUCUUCGGACCUCACGCUAUCAGAUGAGCCUAGGUCGGAUUAGCUAGUUGGUGGGGUAAAGGCCUACCAAGGCGACGAUCCGUAACUGGUCUGAGAGGAUGAUCAGUCACACUGGAACUGAGACACGGUCCAGACUCCUAAGGGAGGCAGCAGUGGGGAAUAUUGGACAAUGGGCGAAAGCCUGAUCCAGCCAUGCCGCGUGUGUGAAGAAGGUCUUCGGAUUGUAAAGCACUUUAAGUUGGGAGGAAGGGCAGUAAGUUAAUACCUUGCUGUUUUGACGUUACCAACAGAAUAAGCACCGGCUAACUUCGUG
rnacentral:rRNA from 1 species